CUUAGGCAAAUCCGGGGGGCUUAGCUGAGGCGUGACGACGAGGUCUCUUUGAGACCGAAGUGAUUGAUACCCUGCUUCCAGGAAGAGCCACUAAGCUUCAGUCUAGAAUUGACCGUACCGCAAACCGACACAGGUGGGCAGGUAGAAGAUACUAAGGCGCUUGAGAGAACUCAGGAGAAGGAACUCGGCAAAUUGAUACCGUAACUUCGGGAGAAGGUAUGCCCUGGUAGCUUGUAGGAGAACAUCCGAAGGGCGACGGGGCCGCAGAGAAUCGGUGGCUGCGACUGUUUAUUAAAAACACAGCACUCUGCAAACACGAAAGUGGACGUAUAGGGUGUGACGCCUGCCCGGUGCCGGAAGGUUAAGUGAUGGGGUGCAAGCUCUUGAUCGAAGCCCCGGUAAACGGCGGCCGUAACGAUAACGGUCCUAAGGUAGCGAAAUUCCUUGUCGGGUAAGUUCCGACCUGCACGAAUGGCGUAACGAUGGCCACACUGUCUCCUCCUGAGACUCAGCGAAGUUGAAGUGUUUGUGAAGAUGCAAUCUCCCCGCGGCUAGACGGAAAGACCCCAUGAACCUUUACUGUAGCUUUGCAUUGGACUUUGACGGGACUUGUGUAGGAUAGGUGGGAGGCGCUGAGACCAGGACGCUAGUUCUGGUGGAGCCGUCCUUGAAAUACCACCCUGGUGUCGUUGAGGUUCUAACCUAGGUCCAUCAUCUGGAUCGGGGACCGUGCAUGGUAGGCAGUUUGACUGGGGCGGUCUCCUCCCAAAAGGUAACGGAGGAGUACGAAGGUCUUCUAGGUACGGUCGGACAUCGUACUGAUAGUGCAAUGGCAAAAGAAGGCUUGACUGCGAGACCGACAAGCCGAGCAGGUGCGAAAGCAGGUCAUAGUGAUCCGGUGGUUCUGUAUGGAAGGGCCAUCGCUCAACGGAUAAAAGGUACUCUGGGGAUAACAGGCUGAUUCCGCCCAAGAGUUCACAUCGACGGCGGAGUUUGGCACCUCGAUGUCGGCUCAUCACAUCCUGGGGCUGUAGCCGGUCCCAAGGGUAUGGCUGUUCGCCAUUUAAAGUGGUACGUGAGCUGGGUUUAAAACGUCGUGAGACAGUUUGGUCCCUAUCUGCCGUGGGCGCUGGAUAUUUGAGGGGGCCUGCUCCUAGUACGAGAGGACCGGAGUGGACGGAUCUCUGGUGUACCGGUUGUGACGCCAGUCGCAUCGCCGGGUAGCUAAAUCCGGAAGAGAUAACCGCUGAAAGCAUCUAAGCGGGAAACUCGCCUCGAGAUGAGAUAUCCCUGGGAACUUGAUUCCCCUGAAGGGUCGUCGAAGACCACGACGUUGAUAGGUCGGGUGUGGAAGC
rnacentral:rRNA from 1 species